AUGCUCUGGGCUCCCCUCAUCCUCCUGCUGGGGACGUGGUGCACAGGGUCCAGUUCCCAGCCAGUGGUGACUCAGCCGCCUUCAGUGUCAGUGUCCCCAGGAAACACCGUGAAACUCUCUUGCACCGUCAGCAGUGGGAACAGCAUCAGUGACUAUAAUGUACGCUGGUUCCAGCAGCAACCUGGGAAUUCUCCACGAUACCUGCUGAGAUAUAAGUCAGAUUCUGACAAGCACCAGGGCUCCGGUGUCCCUGCUCGCUUCUCUGGUUCCAAAGACACGGCCAGUAACACCGGCUAUUUGACUAUCUCCGGGGCCCUCGCAGAGGAUGAUGCUGAUUAUUACUGUAAUAUAUGGCACAGUGAUGCUUGUCACAGUGACACAGUCAGAAGGGGAAAUGAGACAAAAACCUUCCUCCCCCAGCCUGGGCCCAGCAGGGAAUAG